CCUACGGGGGGCAGCAGUGGGGAAUAUUGCACAAUGGGGGAAACCCUGAUGCAGCAACGCCGCGUGAAGGAAGACGGCUUUCGGGUUGUAAACUUCUUUUAAGGGGGAAGAGCAGAAGACGGUACCCCUUGAAUAAGCCACGGCUAACUACGUGCCAGCAGCCGCGGUAAUACGUAGGUGGCAAGCGUUGUCCGGAUUUACUGGGUGUAAAGGGCGUGCAGCCGGAGAGACAAGUCAGAUGUGAAAUCCACGGGCUCAACCCGUGAACUGCAUUUGAAACUGUUUCCCUUGAGUGUCGGAGAGGG
rnacentral:rRNA from 1 species